rnacentral:rRNA from 1 species
GAUGAACGCUGGCGGCGUGCCUAAUACAUGCAAGUCGAGCGAACAGACGAGGAGCUUGCUCCUCUGACGUUAGCGGCGGACGGGUGAGUAACACGUGGAUAACCUACCUAUAAGACUGGGAUAACUUCGGGAAACCGGAGCUAAUACCGGAUAAUAUAUUGAACCGCAUGGUUCAAUAGUGAAAGACGGUUUUGCUGUCACUUAUAGAUUGAUCCGCGCCGCAUUAGCUAGUUGGUAAGGUAACGGCUUACCAAGGCAACGAUGCGUAGCCGACCUGAGGGGGAGAUCGGCCACACUGGAACUGAGGCAGGGUCCAGACUCCUACGGGAGGCAGCAGUAGGGAAUCUUCCGGAAUGGGCGAAAGCCUGACGGAGCAAAGCCGCGUGAGUGAUGAAGGUCUUCGGAUCGUAAAACUCUGUUAUUAGGGAAGAACAAAUGUGUAAGUAACUAUGCACGUCUUGACGGUACCUAAUCAGAAAGCCACGGCUAACUACGUG